rnacentral:rRNA from 1 species
GACGAACGCUGGCGGCGUGCCUAAUACAUGCAAGUAGAACGCUGAAGGGAGGAGCUUGCUCUUUCUGGAUGAGUUGCGAACGGGUGAGUAACGCGUAGGUAACCUGCCUGGUAGCGGGGGAUAACUAUUGGAAACGAUAGCUAAUACCGCAUAAAAUUGAUUAUUGCAUGAUAGUCAAUUAAAAGGUGCAACUGCACCACUACCAGAUGGACCUGCGUUGUAUUAGCUAGUUGGUGGGGUAACGGCUCACCAAGGCGACGAUACAUAGCCGACCUGAGAGGGUGAUCGGCCACACUGGGACUGAGACACGGCCCAGACUCCUACGGGAGGCAGCAGUAGGGAAUCUUCGGCAAUGGACGGAAGUCUGACCGAGCAACGCCGCGUGAGAGAAGAAGGUUUUCGGAUCGUAAAGCUCUGUUGUAAGAGAAGAACGAGUGUGAGAGUGGAAAGUUCACACUGUGACGGUAUCUUACCAGAAAGGGACGGCUAACUACGUG